rnacentral:rRNA from 1 species
CGAGUAGGUGGUGAGAUAAGUCGGGUGUGAAAGCCCACGGCUUAACCGUGGAAGUGCACUCGAAACUAUCUCGCUAGAGUAUGGGAGGGGGAGGUGGAAUUCCCAGUGUAGAGGUGAAAUUCGUAGAUAUUGGGAGGAACACCGGUGGCGAAGGCGGCCUCCUGGCCCAUUACUGACACUGAUCCGCGAAAGCGUGGGGAGCAAACAGGAUUAGAUACCCUGGUAGUCCACGCCGUAAACGAUGUGCACUAGGUGUUGGAGGUAUUGACCCCUUCAGUGCCGCAGCUAACGCAUUAAGUGCACCGCCUGGGGACUACGGCCGCAAGGCUAAA